rnacentral:rRNA from 1 species
AAACCGCUUAGGGGUUAAGCCCGAUGAACCUGAAUAUCUGAAUUGCGAAAUUCAACAUCGUUCAAGUUGGACGGUGUGCACUUUUCGCAUAGUAGGACAUUGCGAUCCAUUCGUAGUUCUCUUUGAGACGGUCUAUCAAACGGCCCGCGUAGUCAGUUUGAACUGCCUGCUGCACUUGUUGUAGUAUGUUCAAUGCUUCUGCGGUGACCUGGUAGACAGCGGAUGGAGCUCCACAAUCAUGCUUGCAUGCUUGCUAUGUAUCACGGUCGUCUCGUACACUCUACUUGGCGAUGCAGUGGUCGCAUGUAUUUGAUUAGCAAUGCGAUAGAUUUGGGAUACCCUCGGGACCCGUCUUGAAACACGGACCAAGAAGUCUAACAUGUGUGCGAGUCAUUGGGUAUUCGUUGAAACCUAAAGGCGUAAUUAAAAUAACUAUUUUUGGGAUUACGAGCGGUCAUACGUCGACCGUUCCUCCAUCCCGGGGCGUUCUAUAUGAACAUGGUUGAAGCGAUUUGGCCCUCUGUUCGAGAGCGUACCUUGAGCAUACAUGCUGU